AUACUUAGCUGACAGGGGAGAAACCAUGAUCACAAAGGUGGUUUUCCCAGGGCAAGGCUUAUCCAUUGCACUCCGGAUGUGCUGACCCCUGUGAUUUUUCCCGAAUGCAGGAAACUCAACUGCAUAAUUUGUGGUAGUAGGGACUGCAUUCAUACUCUCCCCU
rnacentral:snRNA from 1 species